rnacentral:rRNA from 1 species
UACGUAGGCAGCGAGCGUUGUUCGGAAUUACUGGGCGGAAAGAGUGUGUAGGCGGUGCUCUAAGUUCGGUGUGAAAUCUCCCGGCUUAACUGGGAGGGUGCGCCGGAAACUGGAGUGCUCGAACGUGGGAGAGGAAAGCGGAAUUCCUGGUGUAGCGGUGAAAUGCGUAGAUAUCAGGAGGAACACCUGCGGUGUAGACGGCUUUCUGGACCAUUGUUGACGCUGAGACACGAAAGCGUGGGUAGCAAACAGG